rnacentral:lncRNA from 1 species
AAGAAGAAGAAGAAGAAGAAGAAGAAGAAGAAGAGGAGGAGGAGGAGGAGGAGGAGGAGGAGGAGGAGGAGGAGAAGAAGAAGAAGAAGAAGAAGAAGAAGAAGAAGAAGAAGAAGAAGAAGAAGAAGAAGAAGAAGAAGAAGAAGAAAGAAGAAAGAAGAGAAGAAAAGAAAACCAGGAGUGCCCCAACACAGGCUGGGAACUUGACAGCAGCCAGUGCUCCACGGGUUUGCUGCCCGUGCCUGAGGAGAAGGAAGCAGUAAGAUCCUGACCCACGCGAGAGCCCCUGUCUGCUCAGCAGCCAUGUGAUCGUGUGCUGUGCCUGUCACUUCUGAGGCUCUGUGGCUAUGAGAAGUCCUUCUGGAGCUCAUUUCCAAGGUGGAAUGCCUUGCCAUGCCUGGGUUAACAAAGCCUACCCCUUACCCCAGCUCACUGAUGGCUGUGUUAUCUACUGGACCGGGGCUCUUUUGUCCAUCAAGGGGGAAAUCUUUUACGAUGAGGAUUGACUGGCAUGAUUCUGUGUGAGCAACAACAAUAAUAAUCAACAGAGAAAACUACAGCCCAGCAUUUGCUUUCUCUGAGGCAAAUCAAUUAGAGUAAGGACACUGGAUCUCCCUGGAUCUCCUCUGCACUCUCAAAUGGCUACUGCAUCCCUCAAGGUUCUGGGAUUGAAGCAACUGUGAACCAAAACCCAAGGAGAGGUGCUUCCCUGGAUGGCAGGCGUCGGCAGUGAUGCAUAUCCUGGGGCCGUGGUCUUACCCCUGGAGUCACCACCAAACCCUACAUCCAACAGCCAUCCAUUGGCAUAAGAAUGAAAACUCAGGUUUUCUAUUUUCUACAGGCAGCCUCUUUCAUUUUAGUAGCCAUGGCCACUGAGUUGGUGAAAAUGCAGGAUGUCCCCAUCGCUGCCACAGCAUGGUGAACAGGCCAUUGCUGUCUGUGAAAGGCGGGUCUGUGUAAGACGGAUGGGACUUAGCUCGGUAUCUCCGUUCUUGUGAAACAGGCCUAGGGCCUUCCUGCCUUUCCAGCUUCUCUUGUCAUCACCUGCUGCACUCAUAGGAGCCCUACAAGCGGUUGCUAGGCAACAAGCCAUCUCAGCAUCCUUCUUGGGUAUUCAGACAUUUAUACCUGGAUCCUCAUCCCCAUGUUGGUCCUCUGGCCAGACCCAUGGCCAGAUGUCCUAAAGGACUUUUAAGAAACACUUAGGUCUUUUCUCCAAGCAGAGCUAACCCUAGAGGCUAACCCCGCCCCUUCAAGUGCUUCAAACGUUCCUGUUUUUAGGUGAAAAUGUGUGUGCUCUGAGUUCAUUCUGGUCAGGAUGGCUAGUGCACAUGUGGGGGAUGGGGCUAUUUCCCUUCUCUUCCUUCUACCUGGCUAGGAGGCACAGGACGCUGGGAAAAGCAGAGUAAGCUGUGUUUUACUGUUGCUGGCUUGGGAGAUGAUGUGGUAUUGGUUGAAUUUUUAAAAUGUGUUCUCAGGUCUCUGGUCAACGGCUUAUUGACAGCA